AUUGAACGCUGGCGGCAUGCCUUACACAUGCAAGUCGAACGGCAGCACGGGAGCAAUCCUGGUGGCGAGUGGCGAACGGGUGAGUAAUAUAUCGGAACGUGCCCAGUCGUGGGGAUAACGUAGCGAAAGCUACGCUAAUACCGCAUACGAUCUAUGGAUGAAAGCGGGGGAUCGCAAGACCUCGCGCGAUUGGAGCGGCCGAUAUCAGAUUAGGUAGUUGGUGAGGUAAAGGGCUCACCAAGCCGACGAUCUGUAGCUGGUCUGAGAGGACGACCAGCCACACUGGGACUGAGACACGGCCCAGACUCCUACGGGAGGCAGCAGUGGGGAAUUUUUGGGACAAUGGGCGCAAGCCUGAUCCAGCAAUGCCGCGUGCAGGAUGAAGGCCUUC
rnacentral:rRNA from 1 species